rnacentral:rRNA from 1 species
CGUCUAUAUACGUAUAGCAUAUCAAUAAGCGGAGGAAAAGAAACUAACAAGGAUUCCCUUAGUAACGGCGAGUGAAGCGGGAAGAGCUCAAAUUUGAAAUCUUCAAGGUUUUACCUUGACGAAUUGUAGUUUAAAGAAGUGUUUUCUGUUGAAGUUUCGGUAAAAGUUCUUUGGAAUAGGACAUCAUAGAGGGUGAGAAUCCCGUAUUUGACCGUUAUUUUCAGCUGUGUGAUACACUUUCAAAGAGUCGGAUUGUUUGGGAAUGCAGUCCAAAAUGGGUGGUAAAUUUCAUCUAAAGCUAAAUAUUGGCGAGAGACCGAUAGCGAACAAGUACCGUGAGGGAAAGAUGAAAAGAACUUUGAAAAGAGAGUUAAACAGUACGUGAAAUUGUCAAAAGGGAAGCGUUUGACACCAGUGUUGUUUUCUCGAAAAUCAAUUAAAAAUGGCUUGAUUUUGUGUUGUAUUGACCUUUAUCAAGCUUUCUUCACUCUUUUCAUUGUCUUUUUUAAUGCACUUUUCGUUUAACAAGUCAACAUCAAUUUCUUUUGUUGUAAAAGGGUCAUUGGAAGGUGGCUUUCUUUUCGGAGAAAGUGUUUAUAGCCUUUGACUUCUGCAGUCGGAGAGAUUGAGGUCUGCGGCGUAGAUCCUUCGGGGUUAGAUGCAUUUGUGCUAAGUUAUAGCCUUUCAUAGACAACUUGUUGACUAUGAUCAGUCAUGUAGCUUACUCGCUUAUGCUAUUUUACCUACGCUUAGGAUGUUGACGAUCAGCUGAGCGCG